rnacentral:rRNA from 1 species
UACUAGAGUAGCACUCGCAUAUCAAUAAGCGGAGGAAAAGAAACUAACAAGGAUUCCCCUAGUAACGGCGAGUGAAGCGGGAAGAGCUCAAAUUUGAAAUCUUAAAGGGUUUUCCCUUUACGAAUUGUAGUUUAAAGAAGUGUUUUCUGUUGAGGUUUUGGUAAAAGUUCUUUGGAAUAGGACAUCAUAGAGGGUGAGAAUCCCGUAUUUGACCUUUACUUUCAACUUUGUGAUACACUUUCAAAGAGUCGGAUUGUUUGGGAAUGCAGUCCAAAAUGGGUGGUAAAUUUCAUCUAAAGCUAAAUAUUGGCGAGAGACCGAUAGCGAACAAGUACCGUGAGGGAAAGAUGAAAAGAACUUUGAAAGGAGAGUUAAACAGUACGUGGAAUUGUCAAAAGGGAAGCGUUUGACACCAGUGUUGUUUUUCUGAAAAUCAAUUAAAGAACUGUUUAUGCUAAGUUGUUUAGACUUUAUCAGCUAUCUGUUUAGUUUUGAGCUUUUCUUUAAUGCACUUUUCAGUUAACAAGUCAAUAUCAAUUUCUUUUGCUGUAAAAAAGCUUGAGGAAGGUGGCUUGAGAUUCGUCUUAAGUGUUUAUAGCCUCUUGCCUAUGCAGUCGGAGAGAUUGAGGUCUGCAGUGUAGAUCCUUCGGGGCUAAAUGCAUUUGUGCUAAGUUAUAGCAUUUUAUAGACAACUUGUUGACUAUGAUUUGUCUUGUAGCUUACUCGCUUAUGUUAUUUUACCUACGCUUAGGAUGUUGAGCGCAUGUCUCUCUCU